rnacentral:rRNA from 1 species
GACGAACGCUGGCGGCGUGCCUAAUACAUGCAAGUAGAACGCUGAAGAGAGGAGCUUGCUCUUCUUGGAUGAGUUGCGAACGGGUGAGUAACGCGUAGGUAACCUGCCUUGUAGCGGGGGAUAACUAUUGGAAACGAUAGCUAAUACCGCAUAACAAUGGAUGACCCAUGUCAUUUAUUUGAAAGGGGCAAAUGCUCCACUACAAGAUGGACCUGCGUUGUAUUAGCUAGUAGGUGAGGUAACGGCUCACCUAGGCGACGAUACAUAGCCGACCUGAGAGGGUGCUCGGCCACACUGGGACUGAGGCACGGCCCAGACUCCUACGGGAGGCAGCAGUAGGGAAUCUUCGGCAAUGGGGGCAACCCUGACCGAGCAACGCCGCGUGAGUGAAGAAGGUUUUCGGAUCGUAAAGCUCUGUUGUAAGUCAAGAACGAGUGUGAGAGUGGAAAGUUCACACUGUGACGGUAGCUUACCAGAAAGGGACGGCUAACUACGUG